UACCCAGUCAAACGGUUGACGAUUUAUUUGUAAGGAAUGCUUUUCAGUUUGCCAUAUCCACCGAGAACUCAUGGAGUCUGCAAGUCUGUGCAGUGUAGUGUGUGCCGCAAGGCUAGAAAUGUUAAUGAAGAAAUAGUUAAACGCACAUAGACGAAACAGUUAGCUUUCAAUUUUACAUUGUUAGCAUGUGUGGACUGUGUUUACCAGUCAAUUUAAAUAACAGUUUCAGCUUUUCAUCUGUCAGAGAAAGUAAAAAUAAAUGAUUUGGAGACAUUUUAAACGGAAUAUCCACCGAAUAUGGUUGUUUUAUUAGCCUACUACACCCGUCCUUCUGAUGGGCGUCAUGCUGUUGUCACAUACCAGCAGAGAUGCUGAAGCCUCAGAUACUCAAGCUGCUGCCUGCAUAUUGAGAUGCACUUCAUUGAAGGCUGGUCGACACCUGCCAUCCGGUCUAGACUGAGGCUGAGCAGCUCUUAUCAAGAUCAAAGCACCGCCGUGCACGGAAAAACCGGGAAAUGUAAGAGUGAGAGAGAGGUAAGGGGAUGAAACAGUAUGACAAAAUGUGAGGCGAAUUAGGAGAUUCAGCAGCAUGUAGCCUACAACACUGAAUAUUUAGUAUUUUGUAUAGAGUUUGUACAGUUUUUGAGUUCUCUGCUGAAAAGAAGACACCAUCACAGACUUUUUACUACAAAUACUCUUACAAAACAUCACAUUUUAACAGGUAAAACCAUUUUAUCUAUUGUGUUUUGAUUACAUUACAGUAGGCAAUACAUUAGAGACCCAAUAAGCAGAUUGUUUUCAUUAUAACCAUUACUAAUUCUAUGAGGGUUUCUAUUACAUUCAAGCAAAUACCAUCAAAAUAUUACAAAUAUCAAAUUUUAACCAUUAAAACCAGGACAGUUUGAUGGUUUCUACUGUGUUUUGAUACACAUUCCAGUAGGCAAUACAAACUGAGGACAGUUUAAUGGUUUUUACUGUUUGCUAAAUAUAUUCCAGUUGGAAAUACAGACCCAAUUGGAACAUAUUGUUUCCAUUAAAACCAAUAUAAUUUGCAUUAUAACCAUUACUAAUUCUAUGAUGGUUUGUACUAUAUUGAAAAACUGGGAAAUGUAAGUUUGAGAGAAUGGAAAGGGAUAAAACAGUAUGAAGAAAUGUGAGGUGAAUUAGGGGAUUCACAGACUUUUUACUACAAAUACCAUUAAAAACCAUCAAAUUUGAACCAUAAAAACCAUAUUAACUA